GUAAAGUGUUGUGAUUGUGUGAAAAUGUGCCAAAGAACCAUAGCAGAGUACGAGGAGGAACUUUGUCCAACAAAAGAGGAGAAGGAGCGACAACAUGAAAAACAUCAAGUUGUGUUACACAGAACAGACAUCCAUCAGCUGAUUGGACACCAAGAAGAAUGUCUUCCUCAUCUGCAGGGGGACAGUUUCACUUUAGAGUAUCCACAGCCCUCACAUUUUAAAGGGAACUAGGAGGAUCCACAGCCCCCCUAUUUUAAUGCGGAAGGGGAGGGAGAGUGUCCUAUAGGGCAGGAGGAGGCUGAUGUCAGCAAGUUUCCACUGACUGUUGUCUCUGUGAAGACUGAAGAGCAUGAAGACAAACCACCUGAGUCCUCACAGCUUCAUCACAGUCCAAACGUCUGUGAAGAAUAUCUUCUCUCUGAGCAACAGAAGUGGAUCUUCAGGAUGGGCAAGGAGGAGCCACAGCCCUUCCACAUUAAGGAGGAAGAAGAGGCGCCACAUACAUUGCAAAUGCAAAGGAAAGAAAAUAACCCACUGACCUCCCAUUUUAAAGAGGAAGAGGAGGAACACAGCAUCAGUCAAGAAUGGUUGGAGAAGUUCCACGUGGUUGUGAAGAGUGAAGAUGAGGUGAAAGGUGAAAGUGAGGAAA